rnacentral:rRNA from 1 species
GUUGACCUCGGAUCAGGUAGGGAUACCCGCUGAACUUAAGCAUAUCAAUAGCGGGAGGAA